UACGGGGGGAGCAGCGUUGUUCGGAUUUACUGGGCGUAAAGGGCGCGUAGGCGGUCGUGACAAGUCACUUGUGAAAUCUCCGGGCUUAACUCGGAACGGUCAAGUGAUACUGUCGUGCUAGAGUACAGAAGGGGCAACUGGAAUUCUCGGUGUAGCGGUGAAAUGCGUAGAUAUCGAGAGGAACACCUGCGGCGAAGGCGGGUUGCUGGGCUGAUACUGACGCUGAGGCGCGAAAGCUAGGGGAGCGAACGGG
rnacentral:rRNA from 1 species